rnacentral:misc_RNA from 1 species
GAGACAAGCAUAUGACUACUGGCAGGAUCAACCAGGUAGCAUUCUUCGAGAUGCCAACACCCGCAUGAGCCCUGUCGAGCCGUGAGGCCGCAGGCCCAAAGACAGGCGUAGCAGUAGUUCGUGUCAUUGGACAAAAUGCAUUGCUUGAUCAGAUGUAGGCCUCGGAGAGGCCACCCACCCGCAGCACAUAACAUUCCGUAUCCGAGAGGACGGGCAAAGAGCCUCAUGCGCCAAGGCAGCCAUGCAGCUGGGCGAGGCAUGCCAGGAACACAAGGCUUGCUCGACGUCCAACCCACCACCCGUGAGGGCAUGAGGUGGAGAGAAACAAACAAACCAUCGAAUUCCUUCCAACAGGUAAGCAACACAGGAUACCGAA